AAAAAUUAAACAUACGAUUGCGCCAAUUAGAAGAAAAAUGACUUCCCUACUCCUUUAUUCGGACUUGGAACCAGCAUUUUACACGGCAAAUGUUUCCUUUUCUGAAACAUAUCUUCUUCUUAAUUACUGCUACUGCAUGGGUACUCACAAAUUUAAUGUGUGUAGUAGCUUGUAACUUCACUUUAAAGUUCAUACGCAUGAUGGGAACAAUUAAAACACUGUCAUCAACAUAUGUGGCUAAAACAUAAUCAGCAAAAGCUUUCAUACAUUUUAAUUAAUUUAGACAUUAACAUGCAACAACUCAUUGAAAGCUUUUCUUCUUUAUUGGCAUAUCUUUAUUAAAUAUUCAGCAAAGC
rnacentral:lncRNA from 1 species